AUCGGAGACAGUGUGGCGCUUGUUGAAAACGUCUGUGGUUAAGGCCCAAAAAACUGCAUUUCAGAAAAAAAUUCCAAGGACAAUCUCAUGCAAGGAAAGAGCCCCACCAUUAAACAAACAAUCUAGGAUGGAAACCUCCAAAAGCUCUAGGGGCAGCAAGAAUGACUCAGCUGGAGCACGGUAAGUCCCUUGUCCAAGGUGUCCUUUGUGUGGGAAGUGUCCCCCUUUCCAGGAAGGGUUCUCACCUGACGUGGGCCACAAAGAGGACCCUGCUUCCGCAGUCGGGGCUUCUAGAGUGCCUCCACUGUCCUUUAGGUUUUCUCUGCUGUAAUCACUGGGGAUCUCAACCCUCAUCUGGGUCAUUUCUGUCUGAAGACCUCUGUGAUUUUCUUCUCCUCUUGGAGAAAGAGAGGGCGGAGGUCAGUUCUGGGGCUCCACAGUUCUAGGCUUUCUCCUAAGCCGCCUACGGGAGCGGAAAGAGAUCACGACGGAGAGAAAGGUCAAUAAAGAGGAUCCCAGAGGAGCACGAGAUUGCAAGGGCAGGCCCUCAUGGGAGACAGUCAGAACCCCGACAGGGUCAAUAUCAGACCUAUUCAGAGGGAGAGGACACACCGAUCGAUUCUGUGGGCAGAGGAUCCAGUCCUGUCCUUCCAGACUUCUGAUCUACAGAACUGUGAGAUGACAAAUGUCUCUAUUUUCCAGGUGUUCUUCUGCUCGAUUCCAGUCAUGGACACCUCACUCCUUAGGGUUAGCGAGUUCCCAAUGCCCUGCAGCCUGGACUCUCUCAGUGGAACUCAGGGGAACGCAACCUCAAACCUCAUCUAUGAACCAGGCCCUCACCCUCAAAAUCCAGGACAGUGUGCAAACCCAACAGGCAAUAGCAUCCACCCAGGAGGAGGGAUAUGUUUGCACGUCUCUUGGCCCAGAUUAUCCGAGAGAACAGAGCAGUCAUAACAUAGAAGAGAACAGAGAAAAAUCAUAUGGAUUUCAGCUUUGCCAGGAUGUCGGUGAAGUCAGACGAAUGAGCAUAAACUCAUUGGAGGAACUCUCUCAAGAAGGAUUUAAUUGUUGACAAAAAUAGACGAUCGUGGGGUGUGUUCUUUCUGGCUGCAAGGAAUGAAAGACCGAACUUGCUGACGAAGAAGUGUGUUCCUGGCGAUUUGGCUUAAGGGAAUUGACACCAGCUUUCCAGGAGGAGCAGCUGUAAACACCCAGCCUCAGGAAGGAAGCUUAUGUUCUCUGUGAGAUAUCUAGGCUCUGAAACUCCACAACUUGUUUUCACCCUUAAAGAAAAAACAGAUUCUUUCCACCUAAUCCUUUUAGUAACCAACGUGAACCGUAGGAAUUUAGGCAGGAUUUUUCCACGUCUGAUUUAAAGUCGAGAGAUUGAGGACAAGGUGAAGAGAGAAUCUAGUUAAGAGAGAACGUGCAGGACAAAUAUAGCUUAAAAGGACCUGGGAUCAGUGAAAACCCGGUGUCCCUCGCGGGGCCUGACCACCCUCCCUUCAUCUGACAGAUGAACCAGCCCACCUAUUACCCAACGAAAGGCGGGCGCUGGUCCUCUCUGCCAGGUCUCUCUAGCCCCAGGCUGCCGCAGCCUGGGCUCUUCUCCCUUGUCUAACCGCGCCAGCGCCAGAAGACCUGGGUCCAAGAAUUGUGUGGAGAUAUCUACACUACCAUCGUGUGAUAUCCUAAGAAUCAGAAAUUUCUGUUGGUGACAAAGUGACAGGACUGUCAUAUGCCCACAUUCAGACGGAAAAGCUACAUUUCUUGAAGAAAUUAGUCAAGUAAAGACGUCAUUCUCCCACCCACCUUAGAUGUACGACGUUUUGCAGUGCAUGUCGCUGGAUCGCGUGGCAAGGGCUGUUCUAGGCGGUUUUGGUGACCGGCGGCCUCCAUCAAAGGCAUGGAGCACUUGGCCGGCUCUGUGGGGUCUCCUCCCGCAAAGGGGCAGGGCCCCUCCCCCUUCCUUUUCCUAGGAAACUGCGGGACACUGUUCCCAACUCCCUCCCCUGGUGAGUGUGAGAGCGUCAUGACUGCUCGUUUCUUCCCCGGAAAUCCUGUUCCUCAUAUCUGUCCUUACCAGACACACCUUCUGAGUUCAUCUUUCUUCUCCUUUUAUCCCCUCAAAAUCUUGCUCCCAUUUCUAAAUCACAUCCUUGGCCUGAGCCUGAAAAUCUUUUGCUGUUGCUCUUGUUCCUUCUAUGGUAGUUUUAGUCCUCAAGCGCUCUUGUUCUAAAGUGGUCUCCGGAUGAAGCGCCAUCCCCAGGCAUGAGGCCUAGCACCCCGCGGCCUAAACCGGGAGGGUGAUGACGUCACUUCCUGCUCAGUUUCCUGUCCUGCCAUUGGCCGGCAGGGUGGAGUGGGAGGGGAAAAGUGCGGGCAGGAGGCGGUGCGUGGGUCAGAAGGAAGUAGCAGUGAAUGACACCAGGCCAGGGGGCGGGUCUUAUGCAGAUGAGACAGGCCCAGGGGCUGCUGUUCAGACUCCCGUUGGUCACAGACUCUAUGACUUCCUGAGCCACAGGGAUGGAGUCCAGGAUGGUUGCCUGAAUUUGAGAGCAACUUCUUUGCAGAGGACCCCAGGGACUGGGGGAGGGGGUCCUAGAGACUGGGAGUGGACUGUGUAAGGCUAUAAGGCUAUGCCAGGGCAGCAGGGAACGAUGUUUCAUGCGCUGUGCCACAGAUAGCCCCCAAAUGGAGGUGCUUCCUCAGGGUAAGGUUGCUGAAUCGUACUUCAUCGUUUGUCAUCCCCAUCAUUUUUCCAACUUUGAGGGUCUGACUGUGUCAUAUGUGACCCCGAGUCCUGGUGCAUGGGCUGUGUCCUGUUUGGGAUUUCCUGAGAGCUGUCUUAAUCCCGAGCUGUUCUCCUAAUCUUUCUUUCCUUCCAAAUUGGCCACUCUAGCUCUUCUGCUGAUCUAGUGCUGUGGGCACUGAGUUCUCUCCUGCUCCCUUCAUGAGGCCUGCCACAGACUCAGGGGAGGAACAACACUGGCCAGGCCCAGGGUCUUUACUGUCUGUUGCUUGGCUCCUGUUGCUGCUGGCUAAUGGUUUUUGUUUUGUCGUUGCUCUGUGAGUGAGUGUGCGUGUGUUUUGCCACGUGUUUACAUUGGGUGUGAGCUUUUGGGGACACAUGAGAAAGCUGAUGCUGGGAACCUCAGGCCACCUUCUGUGGGUUCUGCUGCUUCUCUGGCUUCUCUCCAGGUUGUUGACCUCUGUUGGAGGCCACUGUCCCCUCACCUCUGCCUUUGGGCAUUUCCUGUCUACAGGCCUCUGACAUCCUUGGAAUGCUCUGGCCACCCAGCCCUUGAGGAGCUCUUGCCUAGGAACCCACAAAAUGCCUGGGGUAACUGGGAAUCCUCUUCUCUGCCAUGGUUAUCAAACACACUUCCUUCUUAGAAGGUCCCAAGAAUUAGGACAAUUCUGAGUCCCCCCACCCCCUACCCCCCAAUAAAGCUUGGCAUCUCAGUCCAUGGCUCUAGAAUGCACUGGAUUCCAAGCUCCUCAGAGAUACCCGCUGUUGGUCCAGGGACACUAGGUCAGAGCUAUGGUUGCCAGCACCAUGCUUGUCACACAGGGCCUCCUCCAGUCCUGGUGCCACCACUUGUCUGGUUGGGACCAGGGCCCACCUCCUGGGCUUCCCCUGUGGGUCACGUGGAUGGAAUAGUGUCCCACACCUCCUAGUGCUGUGCAGAUGGAGAUACCCCAACUGCUCACUUAGCACAGUUUGUGCUUCCUGGUAUGAUCUGCAUUGACAGAAUGAUAUAUUUUCUUCAACUGGAUCAUGCAAUAUGCAGAAGGCUGCAGAAAACAUAAACGUACACCUUAAUGAAUGGCUGUAAAUUAAAAUAACGCCCACCUAGAUCAAUACCUACAAUUUAUGAGACUUCCAGAAGCUUCACACGUGCCCCUUCCUAAAGACAUUUUAUUCCCUGCCCUUAGCAGUAACCGCAGUCUUAUGUUCAUGGUGUUCCAUUCCUCGUUUACUUCAUAGUUUCAUUUAUCAUGCACUCCGCACAGGUCUGGGUUUAACCUGUAAUCAUACGGUAUAUAUUCUCUUCUGUCUGGCUUUUUUCACUAAAAAUUAUGGAUUCAGGAGUCAUCAGUGAUUCCUCCGUUGCCAUGGCUAACGAACUAUACCCCGAUUUAGUUCUCCAUUCUAUUGACGAUGGACAUUUGGGUUGUUUCCAGUUUGCGGCUCUUUCACACAAUGAGGCUAUGGUUCUUAUUGUGCAGGUGUCCUGAACUCAGUGGAUCACACAACAAGGAGUGGAAUUCUAGGGUCCUGUAUUUCGCCUGUCCAAGACUUUCUGAGGUUAAAAAACAAAUUAUAACGCAAAGCUGCAGAUUGUAAAAUUCAUAGGAACAGAAUAGAAUAAACUGAAUCCAUGUGAUUACUGGAUAUAUAGAUGCAAGCUUA